GAUGAACGCUGGCGGCGUGCCUAAUACAUGCAAGUCGAGCGAACAGACGAGGAGCUUGCUCCUCUGACGUUAGCGGCGGACGGGUGAGUAACACGUGGAUAACCUACCUAUAAGACUGGGAUAACUUCGGGAAGCCGGAGCUAAUACCGGAUAAUAUAUUGAACCGCAUGGUUCAAUAGUGAAAGACGGUUUUGCUGUCACUUAUAGAUGGAUCCGCGCCGCAUUAGCUAGUUGGUAAGGUAACGGCUUACCAAGGCAACGAUGCGUAGCCGACCUGAGAGGGUGAUCGGCCACACGGGAACUGGGACACGGUCCAGACUCCUACGGGAGGCAGCAGUAGGGAAUCUUCCGCAAUGGGCGAAAGCCUGACGGAGCAACGCCGCGUGAGUGAUGAAGGUCUUCGGAUCGUAAAACUCUGUUAUUAGGGAAGAACAAAUGUGUAAGUAACUAUGCACGUCUUGACGGUACCUAAUCAGAAAGCCACGGCUAACUACGUG
rnacentral:rRNA from 1 species